GGGCGAUUAACUCAGUGGUAGAGUGCUACCCUCACAUGGUAGAAGUCACUGGUUCAAAUCCAGUAUCGCUCA
rnacentral:tRNA from 1 species